rnacentral:lncRNA from 1 species
ACAAACCAGGCUCAGUUCUGGGAGUGGAUAAAGGAGCCAUUUUCUUGCUUUUCCUUAGGCCCCUACCUCAGCCACUUUGAGAAAACGUCCUGAAUAAAACUCAGGCACAGACCAUAUUUUAAAAAGUGGUUCCCUAGUCCUUGAACCCCAUCUGAUGCUCCAAGUGUGACAAUCCAGGACUGCUGGCAAGGCAGGAGGAGGGAUGGAGCUUUGUUGGACACAUCAGAAUGCAGGGCUAAGCAUUCCCAGUGUCUUCAGUGAUCCUCAGCAGCAUGGACUCAAGGCCCUCCACCAUUCAUCAUGAGUUUCCUUCCUAACCUGGAGAAUUCCUGGAGGAGCAUCACCGGGAGGGUGAGAUCUCGUCUGACUCUGCGACUCCAGGAGUACACACUUUCUCAAACUAUGCUGAGACCUCAAAGUGCCACCAGAACACUGCCAGCUUUUUGUGCUGCCUACUAUUACCUGGAAUAAUGGAGCGUUUAAUAAUUUACCUGAUGAGAUGGGCUUAAGAACAAACAUCUGAGGAAAACAAGGCAAGCCUGGACCUGAGGUUUUAAAAAUUGAGAAGGCCCUUUUAUCAUUGAACAACUACUUCUACUGGGAUAGAAACAGUGUCACCGUGCAAGCGAUGUCUAAAAUGGCAGACCUGUAAGUUUAAAUGAAUUCUAAUGAAGGCUUGGAAUUCAUGACUUAAAAUUCG